AACGCCAUAAGUGAACUUCACACCUCAAAUUUACCAGCCGCGCUAUCCCUUAGGCCCUUAUUUUAUACGACUAUAAUUUUUUGAAAAAUACGUUAAAAGCCCUAUACCUUUUUCCUUCAUCCGUUAAGGCUUAAACUCUGAGACAAUGGUGAGGGGCCAAGGACAGAGUGAAAUCUGAGGAAAGAGGUGGGGCGGAAGGUUAAGAAGACUUUGGAGUAGGACAAAAGAAAGAACUAGAAGGUUGGCUGGGUGACGAAACCUUUAGGUGCCAGGUUAGACUGGGUGCAGGCGAACGACCCAAGGUGGGAGCUGAGGCGCGUAACCUCUUGCCCUCCAGCCCCCCAACGCCCCCAAGCGACUGGAACCCGUUCUAAUCGCCGCUCCCCGCGGCAGCCAUUUUGGAGUUGCACCAGCCCCGCCCCUCGGAGGCACCCGGCCCCGCCCCCUCGGUCCAGGAGCAGAAACAGGAAAUGGGAUUGCAAACCUAGUAGCUGCGCGUGCCGGCUAUUCAGGACUAGCGCAGGACUCUGGGCGACCUCACAUCCCACUCGUGCUGCUGCCCCGGGCACUCGCCUCCCGCGAAAAGUCGUGGGACCAUGUCGAAUAUGGUAGUUAUGUUGGGGAAAUAACUUUUUGAAUAGCCUUAUCCUUAAUGGCUCUUUUCAGAGCCAUUAUUUUACUUGAAGUUUGCUGCAAAAGAACUUAAUAGGAAUGCCAAGAAAUGUGAUAAAGAAGAAAAGGCUGAAAAGGCCAAGAUUAAAAGGCUAUUCAGAAAGGCAAUAAGGAAGCUGCAAGAAUACAUGCUGAAAAUGCAAUCCACCAGAAAAAUCAAGCAAUUGAUUUCUUAAGAAUGAGUGCUAGAGUUGGUGCUGUGGCAGUCAGAGUUCAAAAUGCAGUAACAAUGGGCAGGACUUCUGCCUUGAUGAACAAAUUCAAACACCAGUUUGAAACACUGGAUAUUCAAACACAACAAAUGGAAGAUAAAAUGAGUAGCUCUACAACCCUAAUAACACCACAAGUAAGUAUAGCUUCUCUACUUAGAAUAACUUUUAAAAAUUAUCUCACUUCAAAUUAUAAUGGUAUUGUGAGCCUAAAUGAUCUCUAG
ensembl:lincRNA